rnacentral:rRNA from 1 species
UACGAGAGGCCCAAACGUUAUUCGGAAUUACUGGGCUUAAAGAGUCCGUAGGCGGCGCAGAAAGUAGGGUGUGAAAGCCCUCGGCUCAACCGAGGAAUUGCGCUCUAAACUACUGUGCUUGAGGAACCUAGAGGUGAGCGGAACUGAUGGUGGAGCGGUGAAAUGCGUUGAUAUCAUCAGGAACACCGGAGGCGAAGGCGGCUCACUGGGGGUUAUCUGACGCUGAGGGACGAAAGCCAGGGAGCGAACGGG